GUCCCCACUCUGACCCUGCUGAGAUCAAAUCCUUUCCCUUUUAACCUGAUGAUGACUCUACCUCCAGCCUGCUCCAAAAAGACAGCAGGCUGUUGUGUUCAGCGGGGGAUUGGGCUAAAACGCUUGUGGCGGAGCCAAGGUAAACCGUUCCAAAUGGAGGAGCGGCGCGGGAAAAGGGACACCAUCGCAACAAAAGGAGUUAGAUAUGGAUCGUUGGGCCUGUGCACUGGCCACAGCUUGAGGCAAUUAUCAGUGUCAUCUUGAUCCAAUUUAAUCAAUCUGAGGGGGAGACUGCGAGAGGUGCGGGAGGGUGCUGGACGGGGUGCAAACGUUGGUCAGAUAGCCUGAGCUGACUAAGGACGUUUCUUGCCCUGCACCAACCAGUCAUCCUCCCAUCAGCAGCUCCACGGAGGUAUGUGUUAAAGCCCAUAAGAACUCUGGUGUAGGACCAAACAAGCAAACUCUGGUCCACUUGAAAACUUGAGUUUCUGUUCGUAAGUGAACUCUAGCAUAGUUUGCUUACAGCUGGAAAUCAAAUACUCCAUUUGGAACCAAAGAGAGGAAGUAUCUAUUUCAUACGCUUUCAUACAUGUAUGUGAUCUGAAAACUUAA